GAUGAACGCUGGCGGCGUGCCUAAUACAUGCAAGUCGAGCGAACAGACGAGGAGCUUGCUCCUUUGACGUUAGCGGCGGACGGGUGAGUAACACGUAGGUAACCUACCUAUAAGACUGGGAUAACUUCGGGAAACCGGAGCUAAUACCGGAUAAUAUUUCGAACCGCAUGGUUCGAUAGUGAAAGAUGGCUUAGCUAUCACUUAUAGAUGGACCUGCGCCGUAUUAGCUAGUUGGUAAGGUAACGGCAUACCAAGGCAACGAUACGUAGCCGACCUGAGAGGGUGAACGGCCACACUGGAACUGAGACACGGUCCAGACUCCUACGGGAGGCAGCAGUAGGGAAUCUUCCGCAAUGGGCGAAAGCCUGACGGAGCAACGCCGCGUGAGUGAUGAAGGUCUUCGGAUCGUAAAACUCUGUUAUUAGGGAAGAACAAAAGUGUAAGUAACUGUGCACGUCUUGACGGUACCUAAUCAGAAAGCCACGGCUAACUACGUG
rnacentral:rRNA from 1 species